GAAAUUUCUAAAGAAACACAAUAAAUCAAGUAAAGCAAUAGUGACAUGAUGUUAACAGAGGCUAUAUAUGUAUAUAUCUUUGCAGGGAAAUGCAUUAUACACACAGCACAUCAUUGAACCACAAGAAAAGAUUGCAAAUUAGAUGAUUCAAGGCUAUGGGGUCUCUUUCUUCCUAUAGUUGUUGGCUCUGUUUGGUGUAAUUUGUAGGUGCUAGAUUCCGCUAAGUGGGCAACAUUCCAUAUUGGGGAGGGCAGUGGUUGUGCAUGCAGAUCCUGAUGAUCUUGGGAGAGGUAUGGUUCAUUCUUUGCAUCUUAUGUCAUAUUACAAUGCCUAUAGUUAAUAAAAAUAAGGCCUAUAAAAAAAAUAAAAAUCAAUGUUUUACUAUCUAAAAAAAAAAAAACCAAUAUUUUAAAACUUAGAUGUUAUAGUUAAUAAAAUAAAUAAUCAAUUGAGUUAGCUCAAUUGGCCUCUUUUGUGUACAUUUUGACUAAGAGAGGUGGUAAGGGAAGGAUGGAGGGAGAAAAGAGGGAGAAAUUUGGUUUGGCAUAUUACUUCACUACUGAUAGGAGAUGAAUGAAUUUAUAGUGGCUCUAAGACAUUAGUUUGUGUGUUUCUCUCUCUCUCUCUCUCUCUCUCUCUCUCUCUCUCUCUCUCUCUCUCUACGUGUAUUUGUUUGUGUGGCUCUAAGAAGGCCCAUAAACUAAGAAGGCCCAUAAACUAUCACAAGAAUGGGGCAACAUUCCUGUCAUGUACCAUCUAAUGAGCAUUCUCUUGAAAUUUGUAUGCUAUUCCAAAAUACCUAUCUAUUUAACUUUCCAAUGGUGGAGUUCUCGACUUGAAACUAAAUUUGUUGCAAUUGGACCUCCAAUUACAUGACCGAAGAAGAAUAUCUGGGCAAAUAUGUCCAUUGGAGUAUCAAGCAUUCCAUUCUCAAAAUAAUUAUGCUGCCAGGCCACUAAAGAAUAGAUGGAGCAAUGAAGAAUUAAUGCUUGCUACUAGGACUGGAGGAGUAACUCGUCUUCGACACGAUUUAAAACUCUGCAGUGCAUACCUUGGAGUUCAUGUAAGAUUUCUGAGUCAUAGUUA